UCACUGUUCUUAUUCUAGGCAGAGCUUUGGCCAUGGAACCACCCAGAGAUCGCCUGAUAGACCCUCAGCCUCAAAAAAAAAAAAAGCCUUCCAAGAAGUAAGACUGGAAAACGCCUGAAGGAGGUGGUACCCACAGCCAACUGCUCCAUGUGCACUAUCCAGGUGCUCGGCAGAGACGGGCAACGGCUACUGCCCAAAUGAAGCAACCCCCUGUGGUCACUGAGCCGGCAACUGAUUGACUCUUUGGGACCGCAGCUCUCGCACACAGUUGAAGAUGUCUACCACGCCUUCAUUCUCUGCCAUGUCGAGCAUGAUGUCUAUGGCGAUAAAGCAACCCGUUCUCCCCGCACCAGCGCUAGGAAGAAAGGACAAGGCAUCAUCAAUGAGUUCAAAGAAGCGGGGCUAUUUGAUCAAAGACUAUCGGCUGGGAAGCUUCUGGAGACGGCCAUCAGCCACUCGGCAGAAAGAAAGCUCUGACAAGUGUAGAUGGCAUGGAAAACAAGGUGAUCUGUGUGGAGGUGUUGUUGAAGAGACCUCAUGCCACGGAGGGAAAAAGGGAGAGAGAAAGGAUGUAGAGGGAGAGAAAGGGAGAGUGUGAGAAAGAGACAAAGAAGAGCACCAUUUAGACAUUCAGAAAGGAAGUGCAUUCCACUGGAGAGACAUCUGGGUUGGGAUUUAGAAGGUGUAAAUUCUAUUUAAAAUCCUCCCUCUGUCUUCCUGCAAUCUUGGACAACACACCUUAAUAAGCUGGGAAUAAUUAUAUCUCCAUUUGUCAAAGUUCAAAAUGUAACCCCUCCUGCUAAAAAUAGUCAAAACACUCCACAGGUCUCUCAAAUGUAAGCAUUUUGAACACCUGUCUCUAAAUGUAAGCAUUUUGAACAUCUGUAUAUUGAUGGUUAAAUUGUAAUAAAUAAAAAAUACUGAGGA